rnacentral:rRNA from 1 species
CCAGACUCCUACGGGAGGCAGCAGUGAGGAAUAUUGGUCAAUGGGCGAGAGCCUGAACCAGCCAAGCCGCGUGAGGGAGGAAGGUACAGGGCAUCGUAAACCUCUUUUGUCAGGGAACAAAGGCGGGGACGUGUCCCCGGAUGAGUGUACCUGAAGAAAAAGCAUCGGCUAACUCCGUGCCAGCAGCCGCGGUAAUACGGAGGAUGCGAGCGUUAUCCGGAUUUAUUGGGUUUAAAGGGUGCGCAGGCGGAUUUUUAAGUCAGCGGUAAAAUCGUGGGGCUCAACCCCAUCCAGCCGUUGAAACUGGGGAUCUAGAGUGUGCGAGAGGUAUGCGGAAUGCGUGGUGUAGCGGUGAAAUGCAUAGAUAUCACGCAGAACUCCGAUUGCGAAGGCAGCAUACCGGCGCCCAACUGACGCUGAAGCACGAAAGCGUGGGUAUCGAACAGGAUUAGAUACCCGCGUA